CAUGCCUCACUACCCCAUCUGAAUAGCAGUGAGACCGCUGGAGUUGGAAAAUGUGUACAGCCAAUCAUGAAUCGCGGGUGGGAUUUUGAAUGGAUGGGCGGAGUUAUGGGCGGAUGUGAUGUAAAGCAUUAGCGACAGCAGUGUAGUCUUCACUUCACAACAAACAUGGCAGCGCGCUGUAGUACUAGUACUCAGUGCGCUGAAAUGGAUUCGGCUAUUUCCACGGUAUUGUCUUGUAUUCCAAAUGUUCAGGCAUUGAAAUACGAACAAAUGACGGCGCUUAAGGCGUUUGUUGGCGGCGAGGAUGUGUUUGCGUUUCUUCCGACCGGAUUUGGCAAAAGUUUGAGCUGGCUCCACUGGUCGCUAAAGCCGCUGUGAGAUGGACACUCCCAACUGAGCUCUAGGAGACGUUCUAUCCCACCCGAUUAUAUUUCACGUGCUAAAGCAAUGGGGAAAGUGCAGGAUCCAAUCUUUAUUGUGGUGUUCCCCCUGGCUGCGUUAAUGGAGGACCAAGUCAGAGAGGCUGGAAAUCUAACGGGUAUGGAACUGGGAGGAAGACAUCAUUCAGGGACCAGCGACGUUGCCAGGCCAGCCGGUCUUCGGUAGCCCCGAGUCGUGGCUGAAGGACAAAUGACUGACCAUGCUAUCCUCAGACCUCUACCAGAAGAAUCUACUGGGCAUCGUUGUCGAUGAGGUUCACGUCACCUACAAAUGGAAUGAAAGGCCUUCCUGCUCAGUUGGGAGAACGUCACAGCAAAGAAGACAUGCCUGUCAUGGCUUAAAU